GGGGCUGUAGCUCAGCUGGGAGAGCACAAGGCUGGCAGUCUUGGGGUCAGGGGUUCGAGCCCCCUCAGCUCCACCA
rnacentral:tRNA from 2 species